rnacentral:rRNA from 1 species
AGAGUUUGAUCCUGGCUCAGAACGAACGCUGGCGGCAUGCCUAACACAUGCAAGUCGAACGGGAUCCUGGCUUCGGUCAGGUGAGAGUGGCGGACGGGUGAGUAACGCGUGGGAACCUGCCCAGUGGUGGGGGAUAACUGCGGGAAACUGCAGCUAAUACCGCAUGAGCCCGAGAGGGGAAAGAUUUAUCGCCAUUGGAGGGGCCCGCGUUCGAUUAGGUAGUUGGUGAGGUAACGGCUCACCAAGCCGACGAUCGAUAGCUGGUCUGAGAGGAUGAUCAGCCACACUGGGACUGAGAUACGGCCCAGACUCCUACGGGAGGCAGCAGUGGGGAAUAUUGGACAAUGGGGGCAACCCUGAUCCAGCAAUGCCGCGUGAGUGAUGAAGGCCUUCGGGUUGUAAAGCUCUUUUGGCGGGGACGAUGAUGACGGUACCCGCAGAAUAAGCCCCGGCUAACUUCGUGCCAGCAGCCGCGGUAAUACGAAGGGGGCAAGCGUUGUUCGGAAUUACUGGGCGUAAAGGGCGCGUAGGCGGCCGAUCAAGUCAGGCGUGAAAUUCCCGGGCUCAACCCGGGGGCUGCGCUUGAUACUGAUUGGCUUGAAUACGGGAGAGGAUAGUGGAAUUCCCAGUGUAGAGGUGAAAUUCGUAGAUAUUGGGAAGAACACCAGUGGCGAAGGCGGCUAUCUGGCCCGUUAUUGACGCUGAGGCGCGAAAGCGUGGGGAGCAAACAGGAUUAGAUACCCUGGUAGUCCACGCCGUAAACGAUGAGUGCUAGUUGUCGGCAUGCAUGCAUGUCGGUGACGCAGCU